rnacentral:snoRNA from 1 species
AAACCAUGCAUCAGGCAUUUUCUAAUUAAUUCCUUGAAAAGCUCCCAUGCUCUAUAUAAUAUCUCAUCUUCAGAUUGCCUGAACAAUGUAAUGUCAUUCCUCAACUU